rnacentral:rRNA from 1 species
AGAGUUUGAUCCUGGCUCAGGACGAACGCUGGCGGCGCGCCUAACACAUGCAAGUUGAGCGACCCUUUCCCAUGAGAGCUUGCUCGAAUGGGGCUUAUAAGGGGAGCGGCGAACGGGUGAGUAACGCGUGAGUAAUCUGCCUCGAAGACUGGGAUAACCUCGCGAAAGCGGGGCUAAUACCAGAUAAUAAUAGAAGUUGUAUGGCUUCUAUUUAAAGCUCCGGCGCUUCGAGAUGAGCUCGCGUCUGAUUAGCUUGUUGGUGAGGUAAUGGCCCACCAAGGCAACGAUCAGUAGCCGGCCUGAGAGGGUGUCCGGCCACAUUGGGACUGAGAUACGGCCCAGACUCCUACGGGAGGCAGCAGUGGGGAAUCUUGCGCAAUGGGCGAAAGCCUGACGCAGCGACGCCGCGUGGAUGAUGAAGGCCUUCGGGUUGUAAAGUCCUUUCAGUAGGGAAGAAGUCCCGACUUGUCGGGAUGACGGUACCUACAGAAGAAGCCCCGGCUAACUACGUGCCAGCAGCCGCGGUAACACGUAGGGGGCUAGCGUUGUCCGGAAUUAUUGGGCGUAAAGAGCACGUAGGCGGCUUAUCAAGUCGGAUGUGAAAAUCCUAGGCUUAACUUAGGACCUGCAUUCGAUACUGAUAAGCUAGGGUUGAAUAUAGGAAAGUGGAAUUCCUAGUGUAGCGGUGAAAUGCGCAGAUAUUAGGAAGAACGCCGGUGGCGAAAGCGGCUUUCUGGGUUCAUACCGACGCUGAGGUGCGAAAGCUAGGGGAGCAAACAGGAUUAGAUACCCUGGUAGUCCUAGCCGUAAACGAUGAGCACUAGGUGUGGGGAGCUAUCGAUGCUCUCUGUGCCGCAGCUAACGCAUUAAGUGCUCCGCCUGGGGAGUACGGCCGCAAGGCUAAAACUCAAAGGAAUUGACGGGGGCCCGCACAAGCGGUGGAGCAUGUGGCUCAAUUCGACGCAACGCGAAGAACCUUACCAGGGUUUGACAUCCCGCUGAUAGUUCUGGAAACAGGACCUUCCUUUAGGACGGCGGGACAGGUGGUGCACGGCUGUCGUCAGCUCGUGCCGUGAGGUGUUGGGUUAAGUCCCGCAACGAGCGCAACCCCUAUCCCAUGUUGCCAGCGAUUCGGUCGGGGACUCAUGGGAGACUGCCCCGGUCAACGGGGAGGAAGGUGGGGAUGACGUCAAGUCAUCAUGCCCCUUAUGCCCUGGGCUGCACACGUGCUACAAUGGCCAGUACAAUAGGCUGCGAUGGGGUAACCUUGAGCGAAUCCUUUAAAACUGGUCUCAGUUCGGAUUGAAGGCUGCAAUUCGCCUUCAUGAAGUUGGAAUCGCUAGUAAUCGCGAAUCAGCAUGUCGCGGCGAAUACGUUCCCGGGCCUUGUACACACCGCCCGUCACACCACCCGAGUUGUUUGCACCCGAAGUCCCCGCCUCGGCAGGGCCGAAGGUGUGAGUGGUAAGGGGGGUGAAGUCGUAACAAGGUAACC